rnacentral:rRNA from 1 species
UACGGAGGGAGCUAGCGUUGUUCGGAAUUACUGGGCGUAAAGCGCACGUAGGCGGCGAUUCAAGUCAGAGGUGAAAGCCCGGGGCUCAACCCCGGAACUGCCUUUGAAACUAGAUUGCUAGAAUCCUGGAGAGGUGAGUGGAAUUCCGAGUGUAGAGGUGAAAUUCGUAGAUAUUCGGAAGAACACCAGUGGCGAAGGCGGCUCACUGGCCCGGUACUGACGCUGAGGUGCGAAAGCGUGGGGAGCAAACAGG